UACGUAGGGGGCAAGCGUUGUCCGGAAUCAUUGGGCGUAAAGGGCGCGUAGGCGGCCUUCUAAGUCGAACGUGAAAUCCCCGGGCUCAACCCGGGAACUGCGUCCGAUACUGGAAGGCUUGAAUCCGGGAGAGGGAUGCGGAAUUCCAGGUGUAGCGGUGAAAUGCGUAGAUAUCGUAAGGAAGACCAGUGGCGAAGGCGGGUCUCUGGACAGUUCCUGACACUGAGGCACGAAGGCCAGGGGAGCAAACGGG
rnacentral:rRNA from 1 species